rnacentral:lncRNA from 1 species
AAUACCCACCAAAUGCCAGGCUUAUGGUACAUAUUAAAGCAACUUGAGGGAAACUAUGAUUUCCUUUCUUAAGAUCAUACAUAGGUAGGCAUUUUUAUAUGUGCUCUAAUUUAAAAAAAAAUUGAAGUAUAGGUGAUUUACAAUACUAUGUUACUAUACAGCAAAGCAAUUGCAUAUACACACACACAUGUAUAAUUUUCCAUUACAGGUUAUUAUAGGACAUAUAGGUGCUCUAAUUUCUAGCCUUCAAAAGAACCUUAGUAAGUAGAUAUUAUUAUUACCAUAUUUUGUUUUCCUCCCCUUAGAAAAUUAGGCAUGGAAAAAUGACUUGCUCAAGGUCAUACUCUUGAGGAGGGCGGAACCAGGAUUUUAAUCCAAAUCUGUCUCUAAAACUCAGAUUUUUCUUACCUUUCUCACAUUAGCAAACCAAGCAUAUAAUCACAGUCCAAUGAAGCAGGAACAAUCACCAAUGGUAUUGAGUACAAAGUUCUGUAAGAGUAACUGCUAUUAUGGGAUAGGAGGCUGAAGGGCAGAGAACAUUUACAGAGGAGGAACUCAGGCCCAGCCAAAACAAUAACCUGCCCGAGAACAUAUGGCUGGGGGUGGGGGUGUGGGUGUGUGUGUAUGUGUGUAUGUGUGUGAGAGAGAGAGAGAAAGAGAGACAGGGAGAGGGGGAGGGAGCACAUGCUAGUGUUCAUAUCUUCUAAAGUCAAGUCCAACCCUUCUGGCACAUCCCAGGGCUACUCACUCUCCACUAUCUGAACUUCCUAUUCUAAACUUUACAGGUCCAGGUAACCCUAGCAUCCUCUUCUUGGAAAACACAGUGGAUCCUAGAAACUGGAAUCAAAUCCCAGUUUUUUACAUUUUUUGAUAUAGAUGUUUAUUUCUGUCCACACAUGUUUGUGGGGAUGUAUAUUCCCCUAUAAGCCUAAAAUAUGCUGUGAAUUAGUUGGGGGGGGGGGGCACUCAAAGUCAUUUGGUUCAGAGCUUCUGCCCAAGGAAAAACAAAAAGACGAGGGGCGUGAAAGACUGAGAGAUGGAAAGUAUGGGCAGCUUUCUGUCCAUCUGUGGCUCUGAAAUGCUAAGAACGGUUUGUUUGGGUGGAAUCAGCUGGAAGAAGCAGAAAAUGGGAGCGAGGAUUGUGUUCCUUAACUACCUCUCCUCGGCACAUCUGCCCAACACUGCUCACAUCUGUUCUAGCCUCUUCUCACACGCUGUUAGCAUGUUUGGCCUGGCUGAUUCCUCCCUGCAUUAAGGCAGGGCUCUUCUUUCUAAAAUGCUCCUUCAUAUAAUAUAGAACCUUUCAGGCUCAAGGAAAAAAGGAGCUACCCACAUCCCCACAGAUGAAUAAAAAUCUGGGUCUUAUUUCCUCUCUUUGCAGACAAGUAUCUAUGAGAGGGAGGCAGGAAAGGCUGGGCUUUUCUGUCUCAUGUGAGAACAUCUCUGAGGAAUCUACACAUUCUUCCCAAGGAGCGACAGGAAGAGAUGCCGUGGCAAGGCCACAUGGAGGUCUAGGGCCCUCAUCCGAGACUUUUUUGGAGGGGGGAUGGGAGGAAACCUUAUUUCACUAAUAGUUUUAUUUUUGCCUUACAUUAAAAAACAAAUGGAGAAACUGACCUGGAAGAUAACAGGUCUGCAAUCAACCCCACAAGAUAAAAAGUCAUGUAAGACAAGCCAGGAAGUCUAGGUUCUACACCUGGAUGACAUCUGUCUAGUCACCACUGCUUUCUGACAUGAGAGAAUAAGUGCAUUAGAUGAGCUCACAGAUGGCUCAUGUAUGACCUGUGUGCUGCCACCAACACCUUCCAUGCUUAUGGCAGACAUCAUCAAUCUAUGUGAUCCUCUGUCACUGCCUGGCAAGUUUAGCUUCAAGAUUCUCAACACAUUCCCCUAGAGAAAAGCUGUCUACUCCAACUAUUUAUUGUUCAUCCCUAGAAGAGAUCAUCUUUUGUAUCUUUUCUAGGUUUUUAAAGAAUUCUAUUUCCAGGAAGCAUUUCUCUCCAAUCUACUUACACAUUUUUUUCUUAUGCAUUUGGGAAGUCAAGUCCCACCCCCACCCAAUAAGUGAAACCUACUUCAGCUGUGCCUUUUUUUAGGCAUGUCUGAACUGAUCCACAAAAAGUUUUCAGCAACCUUAUAAAAUUUGGAAUCAGCACAGAUAAGAAACCAAAUGUUUGGAUACCGAGCUUAAAACCAUUUGAAGUGUUGCAUGUGAUCCAUCUGUAUUCAAACACUCUGUUGGCAGCCUCACAACAGAUUCUCAAGACACUCUUUCUUCUGGAAUUUCAGAUCCAGCCAUACACAUGAGCAAGAUGCGUGCUCCAAACAUGAUGCUGAACUCUUCAGCCUUAUUGAUCACUAUACAUUCUGCCACUAAAAUGUAUAGUGAUCAAGAUCCAAAGGGUAGAAGAUAUUUUUUUAAACAAGCUUCCCUCUCAUGUACUCAGAUGAGAUGGCACAAAGAGCAGUGACUAGAGACAGAGAGAUGGUGAACAAACAGGAGACUGGGAGUCAGGGAAACAGAAUUUUGGUUCCCAUUCCACCCCCAUCAUGUCAUGAGACUUUGGACCUCUCUCUUCUCUUCUUCAGUUGCACAGCCCUGAUUGAUGCUAAGAACUCAACCCAGCUCCUCUGCUUUGUUUCUUGGCUUCUGAAGAGUAAAUCCAGGGGUCCCUAGAGAUACUUCUGCUUAUAGUUUCUGUAUCUUCAAUUAUUUCAAUUUGAGGAGGGACAGGAAUGCUUCAAUUUUAUUACCCUUAUUUUCCCCUUCAAUAUUCUAAGAAAUUCACUUUUCAUUGUAUAUUAAGUGACUAAAUUAUAACAGGAUCUUCCGGAAUUUUUAACUUUUUUCUUAUUGCACUUACGUUGGUGCUUUUGUUUAUUAAUAAACUUACUGGGAGGUGUAACUGGUUUUGUCUUUUUUUUUUUUCAGUUCACUCUUUCCCACCAAAGUCUCAUCAUCCAGAAUAUCUUCUUUGUAGUCUUCAUAUAUGUAAAUCCUGUGCAUCCUUUAAAGCCCACUGUUUUACCUUCUCCAUGAAGUCAUCCAAGGUCAAAUUCUUAUCAUCUGUAACACACCUGAUCAUGGCAAUCCUGUUGCCUUCACUGUUAUUUCACUCCUUUAUCAUCUGUCCAUGCAUUUAUUCUCCACUUUUCAAUAAGAUUUGAGGAGGCACAAGCAUAAUUGAAAGAGGACCCUCUCUUUGUCAAGACUGAAGUAAGAAUGCUUAUGUAUUCUUACAUAUAAUAUUUAUAACCCCACUCAGAUAGCAUGAUAUUUUGGUUUUUUAACCUGAGAUAACUGAGAGUAGGUAAAGGUUAUACAUCUAGUAACAAAUAGAUCCAGCCUUAAAAUUCAGUAUCAUGUGAUUUCAAAAUCUUAAGACCACACAUCUCUCUUUGCCAUAAAUCCUUCUAAGCAGGUGGAAAAAGUAACAAGUUAAAAGCUGAAAAACAGGCAGGGAUCCUAUAAAAUUGGAUUGUAAUGAUCAUUGCACAACUAUAAAUGUAAUAAAUUCAUUGAGUAAUAAAAAAUAAAAUAAAAUACAUUAAUAUCCAAAAAAAAAAGUCAGGGGUUAGAAAUGAAGAGAGAAAAUAAAAGUAUAUGUGUGUGUAUAUAUAUGUAUACACAUACAAUAAAAGUGUAUAUAUAUUUAAAGUAUAUCUAUACUUAGUUAUAUAUAAUAUAUAUUAAUAAAAGUGUGUGUGUGUGUGUAUAUAUAUAUAUACACAAAUAUAAAUUUUUUUGGGGGGACAUGCCUGUGGUGUAUGGAAGUUCCCAGGCCAGGGAAUGAACCUGUGCCACACCAGUGACCCAAGCCGCUGCAGUGGCAAUGCCAAUCUUUAACCCACAGUACCCACAGGAGAACUCCAAAAGUGUAUUUAAAACAAAAAUCUUGGUUAAGUUAUAGCAAAUGAGUCUCACAAUGAGCACUGGGUUUCCUGGAAGCCUAGGCAAAGAGAGAAACAUAAUGCAUAUCAAUCUCUUGGUAUCUAGGAGAAGAAAACAGAGAUACAUGUGGUGUCCUGGAUUCUACUUCUGAGAUAAAUUUGUCACAAAAGACACUGAGCAAUACAUUGGAAGAUGUUCUCAGUAGCACUUUGAUCAAGAGUCCAAAAGAUGUUCUGCAGACAUCUGUUUUUUAUAAUAGCAGAAGCAUGGAUGAACACUGAGAGAAUGGUACUAAAUCAUAACUCCAAAGAGAUAAUUCUUUAUGGGACCCAAACAGUAUGGUUCAAGGAUGUGAUUUUCUCCUGAUCUGGCUUAAGAGGUGAAUAAAACAUGGAGCCUUUAAAGGGCUGAAUAGUUUGUAUGCUUUUAACCCAGCAUUUCCAUGAGAUGGUAAAGAUUUUUUGUUUAUGCAUGAAAAAUGAAAUGCGUAAUAGUUUUUUUUAAUUUGUAGUAUGCAAAGUUGUUUUAUAGUUAUACAAUUUUGUGGUUGUUUUGCAAAAGCUUAUUCCUAAGAUUCAGUGAACUAUGUUUAGAUUGCAAAAAGUCAUUGAAGAAAUAAUUUGGGGGAGUUCCCUUAGUGGCUCAGUGGUUAACAAACCCAAUUGGAAUCCAUGAGGAUGUGGGUCUGAUCCCUGGCCUCGCUCAUGGGUUAAGGAUAUGGCGUUGCCAUGAGCUGAUGGUUGCAGAUGUGGCUCGGAUCUGGCACUGCUGUGGCUGUGGCAUAGGCUGGCACUGCAGCUCUGAUUCGAUCCCUAGCCUGUAAAAUUCCAUAUGCUGCAGUGCAGGCUCUAAAAGGAAAAAAAAAGAAAAGAAAAAUUUUUUUCUCAUGUACCGUCUUUUAAGUUUUACCUACUUUGAAUUUUUUCAUCUUUUGUGUCC